UCAUGCUGCAGCUCCCACUGCACAAACUCCWCUAAGAAACUAUUUUUGCUUGUUUGUUUUUCUGGAGCCUCAUUUUUACAGUAAAGACGUCAACAUGUACCAGACCUCUGGAGUUAAAGUCCACACCAUCACUUCUGGGGAGACGUUUGGUGCUGAUGAAGAGCUGCUGAGUAAAGUGAGGAAGAGGAUUCAGCUGACUGUCACACACUGGCUGGAAAGCCUCUUCAUCAUCGUUUUCUGUCCCAUCACCUCUCGCGUUGGGUCGGAUGUGGAAGCAGCCAUGAACAAAGUUCCAGGUACCAGUUUUAUAAUCCA